GAGAGAGAGAGAGAUAAGUAGAUAGAGUGCAAGUAUGUGCAGAGCAGGUAACCAGCAAAGCCCUUGACUGUGCAUUUUGUAGUGCUCUAAGCUUGUGAUUAAUUCCAAAACCCACUUAAAUAUUCAUUUGAAGAUCUUCAUUUAAAUGAGUUGAUCAACUUAUCGGUAAAGAACUUGAUUAAGUUUUAGCUUGCCAUUGCCAUUCACUACUCUGCGCCGAUAUUUUGACCUCAAUUGAUUUUCUUUUACCGUCACUAGUUUGGUAUAUCGAUGUAAAGCUUAUCGAUAUGCUUAAUAGGAAAAUACUAGUUUUUGAAAAGAGUUUUUGAAAUACUCCAAUGUGGCUUUAAUGAUUUACGAACAUUACGGAAAUGUAUGUUUGGACUCUAUGAAGGGUCCUAGGACGUGGGCGAGCCAUAGACUGAAGAUUGUGGUGCCUAACUUUAGGGUAAAUUAGAGAACUGAUGACUCGAGAAUUUCAUUGGCAUAGAUCUGUUUCAGCUCUUCUUCACCUCUCUGACGGAUUCUCAAUGCUGCUCAAGUCUAAGCCAAAUGUCAAUACAAUUGAGUCGUUACAAUAUUGAGACAGAAUAUCGGUUUUGCUAUGCUGCACUUUGUCUCUCUAUCUCUCGCUGUUCGCUUUCCCGUCGCUCUCGAUAUAAUCUAUGGAAUUUAUGUAAGCAGGCAAUAGAUACGGAGCAAUGCUGAUGCGGACACAGAUCCAGAUGCAGAUGCUUAAGAGAAUUGCAAAAGAAAAUGUCAAACAAGCUAAUAACAAGCUCAGACAGCAAGCCCGCCAGCCAGACAGCCAGAGCCUGGGAGAGAGAGAGGGGGAGAGUGUGUUUGAUUUAAGGACAUUGCUAGUGACAGUUGGAAGGCAGUUAAAGUCAACACGCAUACGCCAUGUGUGACAGGCUGCAGCAGCAGUUGUCAUUGAGGGGGCGUAGCUUAUUGAAGAUGCCUGGUCCAGGCAAGAUCGGGCAAAGGGCUGUCGAGGGGAUGACGGGGUGCUGGGGCUGCAUAGCAAGUAAUCCAUACAAAAUACUUGUACAUAUGAUGCAUAUUUCAUUGGAGGCAACAACUGCGACUGCCCAUAAUAUAUUCAUAUUCGAUAUCCAAACACACAUACACAAAUUGAAUAUGUCAUGAGGUGACGGACAGACGGACGGACGGACGAGGGUGGAGCCGUUGAGGUCAGUAUUGGUUGUCAAUUUAAUAUGAAUAAUAAGUAAUAAAUGCAUACGAUUACAAUAACAAUGA